UGAGGAGAAACAGCCCUGAGGAGGUUCUGAGGGGAUCUAGGAGGGUUCUGAGGAGGUCCUGAGAGGUUUUGAGGGGGAUCUGUGAGGGGAAACAGCCCUGAGGAGGUUCUGAGGGGGUCUGUGAGGGGAAACAUCCACUGAGGGGAUCUAGAAGGGUUCUGAGGAGAUCCUGAGAGGUUUUGAGUGGGUCUCUGAGGAGAAAUCCCCACCAAGGUGGUUGUGAGGGGAAAUCUCCACCGAGGGGGAUCUAGAAGGGUUCUGAGGAGGUUCUGAGAAGUUCUGAGGAGUUUGUGAGGGCAAACAGCCCUGAGGGGGCUCUGAGGGGAUCUAGGAGGGUUCUGAGGAGGUCCUGAGAGGUUUUGAGGGGAUCUGUGAGGAGAAACAGCCCUGAGGAGGUUCUGAGGGGAUCUAGGAGGGUUCUGAGGAGGUCCUGAGAGGUUUUGAGGGGGGUCUCUGAGGGGAAACAUCCACUGAGGGGAUCUAGGAGGGUUCUGAGGAGGUCCUGAGAGGUUUUGAGGGGGUCUGUGAGGGGAAACAGCCCUGAGGAGGUUUCUGAGGGGAUCCGGACAGGUUCUGUGUGGUCACUGCCAUCCCCUUUCACUUUUCGUGUCCCCUCAGAACUCCCCCUUUUUUCCAGGUGCCACCACUGCCCGUCACCCUUCUCCAGCUGCCACCACUGACCGUCACUCUCCUCCAGCUGCCACCACUGCCCGUGACCCUCUCCAGCUGCCACCACUGACCGUCACUCUUCUCCAGCUGCCACCACUGACCGUCACUCUUCUCCAGCUGCCACCACUGCCCGUCACUCUUCUCCAGCUGCCACCACUGACCGUCACCCCUCUCCAGGUGCCACCACUGACCGCCACCCUCUCCAGCUGCCACCACUGACCAUCACCUUCUCCAGCUGCCACCACUGACCGUCACCCUCUCCAGCUGCCACCACUGACCAUCACCCUCUCCAGCUGCCACCACUGACCGUCACCCUCUCCAGCUGCCACCACUGACCGUCACUCUUCUCCAGCUGCCACCACUGACCGCCACCCCUCUCCAGCUGCCACCACUGGACCGUGACCCUCUCCAGGUGCCACCAGCCCCGUGUCCCUCACCGUGGAGUCCCUGCGCGCUCUCUCGCAGCUGCACUCCCCGCAGGGCGGUGGAGUUACCGGCGCCCACCACGGCCACCGGCGGGGCCAGCCCGGGGAGGCGGCGGGCCGCACGUGGCGCCGCUGGCCGGGCUGGGAGGAGGAGGAGGAGUGCCUGGACUUCUACGGCAUGCUGUCCCUGCACCGGCUCUUCGAGGUGCUGGCCGCGCAGCUGACGCCCAGCGACGUGGCCGUGCUGUCCUUCCUGCUGGACGAGGCGCUGG
rnacentral:lncRNA from 1 species